GAGUUUGAUCAUGGCUCAGGACAAACGCUGGCGGCGUGUAUUAGGCAUGCAAGUCGCACGGACCUUCGGGUCAGUGGCGGACGGGUGAGUAACACGUGGGUAACCUGCCUUGGAGUGGGGAAUAACUCUCCGAAAGGAGAGCUAAUACCGCAUACCACUCUCGGUGAGAAGCCGAGUAGUAAAAGCAGUAAUGCGCUCUAAGAGGGGCCCGCGGCCGAUUAGCUUGUUGGUGGGGUAAUGGCCUACCAAGGCGACGAUCGGUAGCUGGUCUGAGAGGAUGGUCAGCCACACGGGGACUGAGAUACGGCCCGACUCCUACGGGAGGCAGCAGCUAAGAAUCUUGCGCAAUGGGCGAAAGCCUGACGCAGCAACGCCGCGUGAAGGACGAAGGCCCUCGGGUUGUAAACUUCUUUUGCGAGGGAAGAAGAUCUGACGGUACCUCGCGAAUAAGCCACGGCUAACUACGUGCCAGCCGCCGCCGUAAU
rnacentral:rRNA from 1 species